AGUGAACGCUGGCGGUAGGCCUAACACAUGCAAGUCGAACGGCAGCACAGUAAGAGCUUGCUCUUACGGGUGGCGAGUGGCGGACGGGUGAGGAAUACAUCGGAAUCUACUUUUUCGUGGGGGAUAACGUAGGGAAACUUACGCUAAUACCGCAUACGACCUACGGGUGAAAGCAGUGGAUCUUCGGACCUUGCGCGAUUGAAUGAGCCGAUGUCGGAUUAGCUAGUUGGCGGGGUAAAGGCCCACCAAGGCGACGAUCGGUAGCUGGUCUGAGAGGAUGAUCAGCCACACUGGGACUGAGACCCGCUCCAGACUCCUACGGGAGGCAGCAGUGGGGAAUAUUGGACAAUGGGCGCAAGCCUGAUCCAGCCAUACCGCGUGGGUGAAGAAGGCCUUCGGGUUGUAAAGCCCUUUUGUUGGGAAAGAAAAGCAGCAGGUUAAUACCCCGCUGUUCUGACGGUACCCAAAGAAUAAGCACCGGCUAACUUCGUG
rnacentral:rRNA from 1 species